UCUAGAAACGCAGGACUACUCCCACAGGCAAGCUACAUGGACAAACAGAUCUCACUAAACCCUUCUCUAUUCAUUGCUGGUAACAUCAUAAGAAGGUCCCACGGGGUGAGCUCAUUUCAGUUCCAGUGACAAACACUAAGGCUGGACCCUGACUGCAGAAGACUUACUGAAAGAGAAUAGAGAUGAUGGCCAAGUCAUCAAGUCAUCCCAGUCAGCUGACUAAACAAGGAAACUCUUCAACAACCAGCUCUUGCUCCUACAGUGUUUGCUAUUUGUGGUUCUGGAAGUGUUAGCAAGAGUGACCUUGACAUUGUCAGCAACCGCAUGUGGCCACCAAGGAGUGUGAUAUUGUAUGGAUCCUACUUAGUUUGGAACAUGGCUAAUGGCUUGAGAGAGUUAAAGUCUAUUGUGACAAGAAGUAAAGAGAAGACUGGCUUAGCCUCCAACAGCAAGAUUUCCUUGACAUGGCUGUUCACAUAAUAGAAGACCAGGAGACCCGCAGCAACCACAUGAGAGUUCUCUCUACAGAACAGAGAAUCCUUGUCUGGGUCUUCAAUCACAUUUGCAAGCCCUGAAGUUCUAGUGGAAUUAUCUAACAUCUUGCCCUGGCCAGAGCAUAAGACCUUCAGGAGUGUGGAGUAUCUGCGUGGCUGGUUCUCAGCGUUCUCCAUAUAUUCGCUCUCAGCGUGGAGUUUCACUGAAUUCAACGAAGACACCUGAAACACCUGCCCUGUGCCAUGUGUGGACAUGAUGCCUCUGCAUGAUCUGAAGAGGUAAGCAGGUGAGCUUCAGCAACGCUGUGAACAGAGCUUCCUGUGUAGGCUGAAAGGGCCAUCCUACGACAAAGCAAUGAUACCCCACCCCAAAAUACAAACAAGCAUGUCUCAUGA
rnacentral:lncRNA from 1 species